rnacentral:rRNA from 1 species
UACGAAGGGUGCAAGCGUUAAUCGGAAUGACUGGGCGUAAAGGGUGCGUAGGCGGUUCGUUAAGUCUGUCGUGAAAUCCCCGGGCUCAACCUGGGAAUGGCGAUGGAUACUGGCGAGCUAGAGUGUGUCAGAGGAUGGUGGAAUUCCCGGUGUAGCGGUGAAAUGCGUAGAGAUCGGGAGGAACAUCAGUGGCGAAGGCGGCCAUCUGGGACAACACUGACGCUGAAGCGCGAAAGCGUGGGGAGCAAACAGG